GCCCCAUUAGCUCAGUCGGUAGAGCACUUGACUUUUAAUCAAGGUGUCCGGGGUUCGAAUCCCCGAUGGAGCACCA
rnacentral:tRNA from 1 species